UUCCUUUGUCUUGUAACUUCAACUCCUAUGACUGUUCCCUAAUUACACUACUGCAACCCUUAAUGGCACUACAAAAAUCUAUCAAUUUGUUUAGAUUAUUUUGCAGAACCUCCUUUUUGGUGCCCUCCCCUACCUCUUGCUUUUCUUGGCCAUACUUUAAACUUAUUCCUCUUAUAUUUCCUUUAUCUUUUCAAUUCCUUUGUCUUGUAACUUCAAUAUCUAGUAUGGCAAGUGAUUGGAGUUGAUGAAAG
rnacentral:misc_RNA from 1 species